ACCGCGUGUGCGAAGAAGGCCUUCGGGUCGUAAAGCACUUUUUGGAAGGAAUAGGAAGGAAUGUACUUCCAGAAUAAGUCUCGGCUAACUACGUGCCAGCAGCCGCGGUAACACGUAGGAGGCGAACGUUAUCCGGAUUUACUGGGCGUAAAGCGCGUGUAGGUGGUACUGUAAGUAGGGCGUGAAAGCUCCCGGCUCAACUGGGAGAGGCCGUUCUAAACUACAGAACUAGAGGAUGGUAGAGGGAGGUGGAAUUCCAGGUGUAGCGGUGGAAUGCGCAGAUAUCUGGAGGAACACCAGUGGCGAAGGCGGCCUCCUGGACCAUUCCUGACACUCAGACGCGAAAGCUAGGGUAGCAAACGGGAUUAGAGACCCCGGUAGUCCUAGCCCUAAACGAUGUAGACUAGGCGUCGGAAGUUUAAUCACUUUCGGUGUCCAAGCUAACGCGAUAAGUCUACCGCCUGGGGACUACGGCCGCAAGGUUAAAACUCAAAGGAAUU
rnacentral:rRNA from 1 species